AUGAAGUCAGACCAGCUUUUCUCCUCUGUGCCCUCUCUGUGACUCCAGGAGCCUGCUCUGGACAGCCUUAGGGUGGAGACCAGGCUGGGAAGCAGUCACUGUAAUAAGACUGGAGAGGAAGGGACUGGAAACCAGUGGCAAUAGUGGACUAUUCUCAACAUGUCACAGGAGAGAAGCUGCGUGGCCACAUGUCACACCUCUCUCAAGCAUCCAGUGGCUUUCCUCCACAGCCUCGAUGUGUCAACUUCAGACAAACUGCAGUACACUUUGCUUACUGCCUGUCUCCAUCAUUAAAGGU